GAGGGUAUAGCUCAAGUGGUAAGAGUGCGUGCUUGGCCUGCACGAGGUCCUGGGUUCAAUCCCCGCUACCUCCA
rnacentral:tRNA from 1 species